ACACAAGACUACAUUGAACCAAAAAGUUUUGUGGUGGAGUAUCGUGGAGUUUUGUCUCUGAGCGACAGUGCAGAUGACAAAAACAGCAAAUAUGCAUUUGAGUUCAUGUGGAAUGGGAAGCACUAUUGCAUAGAUGCUUCAAAAGAGGACGGAACACUGGGACGACUAGUGAAUGAUGAUCACAUACAUCCCAACUGCAAAGUCAAGAGGAUAAUGGUCAAAGGAAGGCCACACUUGUGUCUAUUUUCCAUCAAGGAAAUCUUUCCAGGCGAGGAGAUAACAUUUAACUAUGGUGAUUCCUCUUGGCCAUGGCGCUCAGUGGCACCCUGUGAAGAACCAUCUGACCCAAACUUGACGAAAAGUGAGCCAGUCUCAGAAAAGG